AACCACCUCUUGAUUCCCGCAGGAAAAACUCACCAUCUACAGUUCCUGAGGAUAAAUGGUGGCAGUUGAAUAGACACCAAUCUCACCUACGAAAGAAGAGCAUUAACUUCAAGAGGACAUUUUCACAAUGCCACCGCUCUCAGGAAUGUGCUAUUGGGCAUAUACUGAAGGAGGGAAAAGGUUAUACUUAAGAAGACAGUGAGGCUGAACAGAGGAAGUCUGGAGAAUACAUCAACCUCAUCAGAUAUCGGUUGAUACCUGACAAAGAAGAAUUCCUUAGCCUUGGCCUGAACAAUCAGGAGUUAUACCUCACCUUACCAGCUACAGGCCAAACACCCAAAGGAGAGAACUAGCUGCGGAUUGUAACUGAAAACGCCAUAAUGCAUGAAAGUACCACUCAAUUUAAUGUUCAACAAAUACCUGUUUCGCUACAAUUUCCAAUUAGUAUCAAUCAUGUGAUGUCUCAUAAUUUGUCCAGCCCUCCCCUAUGUAUCUGGGGGCUGUAGAUAAGCAGUUCUGAAACUAACAAAAUUUACUAUAAAAUAAUAAGGACAAUAAGCUUUAGACUGAGCAGCAUAUGAUACCAAACGAAUCCAUUUAUAUAAACAUUCAUUUUCAAGUUCUGGUCACUAGUAUUUAACUGAACAUUCCUCAAAAGAUUAAUCAAAGAAAAGACUUGAUGACUU